UACGUAGGGGGCAAGCGUUGUCCGGAAUUAUUGGGCGUAAAGAGCGUGUAGGCGGUCCGGUAAGUCAGCUGUGAAAGUCAAGGGCUCAACCCUUGAAUGCCGGUUGAUACUGUCGGGCUAGAGUCCGGAAGAGGCGAGUGGAAUUCCCGGUGUAGCGGUGAAAUGCGCAGAUAUCGGGAGGAAUACCGAUGGCGAAGGCAGGUCUCUGGGCUGACACUGACGCUCAUGCACGAAAGCGUGGGGAGCAAACAGG
rnacentral:rRNA from 1 species